GAUGAACGCUGGCGGCGUGCCUAAUACAUGCAUGUCGAGCGAAUGGAUUAAGAGCUUGCUCUUAUGAAGUUAGCGGCGGACGGGUGAGUAAUACGUGGGUAACCUGCCCAUAAGAAUGGGAUAACUCCGGGAAACCGGGGCUAAUACCGGAUACCAUUUUGAACCUCAUGGAUCGACAUUGAAAGGCGGCUUCGGCUGUCACUUAUGGAUGGAACUGCGUCGCAUUAGCUGGUUGGGAAGGUAACGGCUCACAAAGGCAACGAUGCGUGGCGGACCUGAGAGGGUGAUCGGCAACACAGGGACUGAGACACGGCCCAAACUCCUACGGGGGGCAGCAGUAGGGAAUCUUCCGCAAUGGACGAAAGUCUGACGGAGCAACGCCGCGUGAGUGAUGAAGGCUUUCGGGUCGUAAAACUCUGUUGUUAGGGAAGAACAAGUGCUAGUUGAAUAAGCUGGCACCUUGACGGUACCUAACCAGAAAGCCACGGCUAACUACGUGCCAGCCGCCGCCGUAA
rnacentral:rRNA from 1 species